rnacentral:rRNA from 1 species
GGGCCAGACUCCUACGGGAGGCAGCAGUGGGGAAUAUUGCACAAUGGGGGAAACCCUGAUGCAGCGACGCCGCGUGAGCGAUGAAGUAUUUCGGUCUGUAAAGCUCUAUCAGCAGGGAAGAAAAUGACGGUACCUGACUAAGAAGCCCCGGCUAACUACGUGCCAGCAGCCGCGGUAAUACGUAGGGGGCAAGCGUUAUCCGGAUUUACUGGGUGUAAAGGGAGCGUAGACGGCGGUGCAAGCCAGAUGUGAAAGCCCGGGGCUCAACCCCGGGACUGCAUUUGGAACUGUGCUGCUAGAGUGUCGGAGAGGCAGGCGGAAUUCCCAGUGUAGCGGUGAAAUGCGUAGAUAUUAGGAGGAACACCAGUGGCGAAGGCGGCCUGCUGGACGAUGACUGACGUUGAGGCUCGAAAGCGUGGGGAGCAAACAGGAUUAGAUACCCGUGUACU